GUGCUUACUUCAGCAGCACAUACAUUAAAAUUGGCAUGAUACAGAGAAGAUUAACAUGGCUCCUGUGCAAGGAUGAUACACAAAUGUGUAAAGCUUUUCAUAUUUUU